CAAGAGUUAGAUAUUUUCUCUUCCUGUCGAAUGCCUGUUGCUGGCAAAAUGUUGAAUAUUUUGAAUGCAAAGAGUUAUAUCACUUUACAUUUUAAAAACAUGUUAUGAUUUUUAACUUAUAGAAUAAGCUGACAGAAAUAACACAAAAUAUGAUGUUUUAAUUACUUUUUUUAUUAUUACACAUACUAUCAAAGAUGCCACUUCAGAUACAGAUAUGACUGUCACUUAACCUGUGUGGUUUUUUAGUUAUUUUAACUUUGUUUUUUCAUAUUUUAGAUGGUUUUUUUGUUUAGCAUAUAUUUUUAAGCAAAAUUUGUUUUCAUUAUUAUUUACUGGUAAUAUUUACGAAUAUCUUUAUGGAAAAAAAUAUUUAAGUAAAUGUUUUGCAAACAAUCUAAAAUUUAAAUAGAUUAGAAAAUAUUUAAUAACAUUUAGAGCAAUUAAUCUUUCAAUGAAAAUUAGAUACAUAUUUGGCUUCGUAAGUUAGUCCAUUUUAAUAUGUGUUUCUGACAUAUUUAUUUAAGAGGUUUGAAAAAAUCCUAAUUCUUAUGUUGAUUUGUUUUUAAAUUUGUUACUAUUGCAUUCUUCAUACAAUAGAAGGAGUAUGUUUAAUAGUUUUUGGAACAUUUUCCUACCCAACGCAAGCUUAUUUAACCCCUCCCCCCCCCCCCCCAUAUUGAUAGCAUGAAAUUUGUUGAAAGAAAUCUUGAUAACGGAGAAUUUGUUGAAAUUUAUCUUGAUAGCGUAGAAUUUGUUGAAAGUCAUGUUGAUAGUGUAGAAUAUGUUGAAAGUCAUGUUGAUAGCGUAGAAUUUAUUGAAAGUCAUUUUGAUAGCGUAGAAUUUGUUGAAAGUUGUGUUGAUAGCGUAGAAUUAGUUGAAAGUCAUCUUGAUAGCGUAGAAUUUAUUGAAAGUCAUGUUGAUAGCGUAGAGUUUGUUGAAAGUCAUGUUGAUACUGUUAAGUUUCUUGAAAAUCAAGUUGAUACUGUAAAGUUUGUUGAAAAUCAAGUUUUUCAAAAUUUUUUCAGGUACUUCGUUCUGUUAAUAAUGAAUUCAAUGGUUAAAAAUCACAAAGUGAUGUUUACCUUUUCAUUCAUAAACUAACAGCAAUGGAAAACAACACAAAUCGAUAAAAGACAUGGUGCAGAGACAUGGUGACAAACACCAGAAACUCAGUUCAAAGGGCACCAAAAUGCUGAAAAUAAAGUUGUGAAGGUACAAGUGUCUCUUCAGUACUUACUGAAGUACGAACACCUUUAAUCGUAAUUAUUUUUGCAGUUUCAUAUUGCUUGUAUGUUUGGUGGACCUAAAUGUCUUGUGAAAAUGUUACCUGUAAACAAAUUAAAUUCUCAAUUUUUAUAUGAUCAAAUUCAUUUGACUGUUGAAGCAGUUAAAGAGUCUAAUAGCAACGCAAAGACAAUCCUUGCUUGUAAUGGAAAUCGAACUAAUCAAGCAUUUUUUUAAAAAUUUGACACAUUUCCUGAAAAACCUUGGCUAACCACCAAUGGAACCUAUUUGUUGUUUGACUUUGUCCACUUAAUCAAAAACAUGCGAAACAAUUGGCUCACAGAAAAAAAAGGAGAAUUAAUUUUUUAUGAAAAUGGUGUUGAGAAAACAGCUUGUUGGAGUCAUUUGAUAAAACUUUUUGAAGCUGAUUCUAAUUGUCUAAUGAAACUUUCUGAUUUGAAUGAAGUUUCUGUUCGACCCAGUCAUAUUGAAAGACAAUCUGUUUCUACCUGUCUAAAAGUGUUUUCUGAAAAAUCAUACAGCGCUUUACUUAAUCAUCCUGAAACCUCCAACAUCUUAAACAUAAAUGAGACUGCUGAUUUUAUUAAAAUGGUUGUUACAUGGUGGAAAAUUUUAAAUGUAAAAAGUGUGGGUGUAGAUUGUAGGUUUAAUGAUGAUCGAAAAGCUGUCAUCAGAAAUCCAAAUGAUGAUAGAUUAAAAUUUAUUUGGGAUUUCGGAGAAAUGGCAUUACGUUUUGACAAGUAAUCAAGGGAAGCGUAUAAAACAAUUUACACAUGAUACAGGAUAUUCCAUAAAUCAUACAUGUAAAGGAAUUGUUGAGUUGACAAAAACACUAUUAAAAGAAAAACACAAAUAUGUUAUGUUGGGAAAAUUUACAACAGACCCACUUGAAAAAGAAUUCAGCAAGUUAAGAUUAGGAUCUGGUGGCACAUAUUUUUUAAGUGUCCAGCAAAUAAUUGAAAAGUUCAAUAUUUCUAAAACUUCACUUUAGUUGUCAUAUAGCAUUAAUGAGUCAACUCCUGAUGCAGGACAUUCUUGCCAAUUUUGUGGAUUUUUACUUGAUGAAUCUUCAGCUGAGGUCUUUGAUAAUUUGCCAACACUAGAAAAAAGUAUAACUGUUCAAUCAAAGAUGUCUCUUGUUUAUAUUGCCGGAUAUGUGUCUCGUAAUGAUGAUUUGCUUAAUGAAAAUGAACUUUUAACCAGAACAAUGUUUUAUUUUGAAAAGUUUGGUCAAUAUCUAAAAUCAGUCGAUAGAGGUGGGUUAAAAGUUCCUUUUGAUAAUACUGUUCAAUGGGUUUUCUUCUCGUUUGUACUAUUUAACUCUAUUAAAGAUAAAGUUUGUCGGACAUCCCUGUGCAACAUUUUUAUGCUUAUAUCGGAUCAUUAUUCUUUUGACAUGGAACGACAUCAUAGUAAUAUACUGUCAAAUAUUUUUAUCAAAAACCACUGCAAACUUUCCACACCAAGAUCGAACAAAGAACCGUCUCUGAAAAUUUUAAAGUUGUCUUGUUAAGUUGACAGUUAUUUAUUGACACUUAUGCUGUUAUUUCUUUAUUGAAAUUUAUUAAUUGAUUUAAA